rnacentral:misc_RNA from 1 species
GGAAGUAAAGGUCGUAACAAGGUUUCCGUAGGUGAACCUGCGGAAGGAUCAUUAUCAUGUAAUUCAGUCCCCUUGGCUGUGUUAUAUAUAUACCCACUCUGUGUACCUUCUCCUGUUGCUUCCGCUGGGUGUGUAAUUCGCCCGGCUGAAGGGUAAAAAUAACCUCUGAGUAUUGAUGAAAUCUCUGUCUGAACCGAAUAGAAAGAAAAAUGUUAAAACUUUCGGCAACGGAUCUCUUGGUUCUC